rnacentral:rRNA from 1 species
GACGAACGCUGGCGGCGUGCUUAACACAUGCAAGUCGAACGGAAAGGCCCUGCUUUUGUGGGGUGCUCGAGUGGCGAACGGGUGAGUAACACGUGAGUAACCUGCCCUUGACUUUGGGAUAAAUUCAGGAAACUGGGGCUAAUACCGGAUAGGAGCUCCUGCUGCAUGGUGGGGGAUGGAAAGUUUCGGCGGUUGGGGAUGGACUCGCGGCUUAUCAGCUUGUUGGUGGGGUAGUGGCUUACCAAGGCUUUGACGGGUAGCCGGCCUGAGAGGGUGACCGGCCACAUUGGGACUGAGAUACGGCCCAGACUCCUACGGGAGGCAGCAGUGGGGAAUAUUGCACAAUGGGCGGAAGCCUGAUGCAGCAACGCCGCGUGCGGGAUGACGGCCUUCGGGUUGUAAACCGCUUUCGCCUGUGACGAAGCGUGAGUGACGGUAAUGGGUAAAGAAGCACCGGCUAACUACGUG